rnacentral:tRNA from 1 species
GGGUCAGUGCCCGAGUGGUUAAAGGGGGCGGAUUGUAAAUCCGUUGCGUUUUGCUACGUUGGUUCGAAUCCAACCUGACCCA